rnacentral:rRNA from 1 species
GAGUUUGAUCCUGGCUCAGAAUGAACGCUGGCGGCGUGCCUUACACAUGCAAGUCGAGCGAGGCCGGGUAGCAAUACCCGAGUCGAGCGGCGAACGGGGUGAGUAACACGUGGAUUAUCUGCCCUGAGGUGGGGGAUAACCCGGGGAAACUCGGGCUAAUACCGCAUAUGACCGUGAGGUCAAAGGGGGGUCGCAAGAUCUCUCGCCAUUGGAGGAGUCCGCGUCCGAUUAGCUAGUUGGUAGGGUAAUGGCCUACCAAGGCGACGAUCGGUAGCCGGCCUGAGAGGGUGAUCGGCCACACUGGAACUGAGACACGGUCCAGACUCCUACGGGAGGCAGCAGUGGGGAAUUUUGCGCAAUGGGCUAACGCCUGACGCAGCAACGCCGCGUGGAGGAUGAAGGUCCUUGGAUUGUAAACUCCUGUCAGCAGGGAAAAAGCAAUCUAGCCUCAUACGCUAGAGAGUUGAUUGUACCUGCAGAGGAAGCCCGGCUAACUCUGUGCCAGCAGCCGC